AUUGAACGCUGGCGGCAUGCCUUACACAUGCAAGUCGAACGGCAGCACGGGUGCUUGCACCUGGUGGCGAGUGGCGAACGGGUGAGUAAUACAUCGGAACGUACCUUAUCGUGGGGGAUAACGCAGCGAAAGCUGUGCUAAUACCGCAUACGCCCUGAGGGGGAAAGCGGGGGAUCGCAAGACCUCGCGCGAUUAGAGCGGCCGAUGCCUGAUUAGCUUGUUGGUGGGGUAAAAGCCCACCAAGGCGACGAUCAGUAGCUGGUCUGAGAGGACGAUCAGCGACACUGGGACAGAGGCACAGCCCAGACUCCUACGAGAGGAAGCAGUGGUGAAUUUUGGACAAUGGGGGCAACCCUGAUCCAGCAAUGCCGCGUGAGUGAAGAAGGCCUUCGGGUUGUAAAGCUCUUUUGUCAGGGAAGAAACACCGGCUCUAACACAGUCCGGGAAUGACGGUACCUGAAGAAUAAGCACCGGCUAACUACGUGCCAGCCGCCGCCGUAA
rnacentral:rRNA from 1 species